rnacentral:lncRNA from 1 species
UUAUGAUAUAUAUUGUGGUACAAAGUAUUUUGAUAUAGAUCGGAUUUAUGCUCUCAGCCUAACUAUGUUUCAGUGGGCCCCGCCAAUGGGGAUUAUACGUUGGUACUCAGUGGACCCUGUCAGUGGGGGUUGUGCGCUGGUGUUUGUGGACCCUGCCAGUGGGGGUUGUGCACUGGUAUUCUGUGGACCCCGUCAAUGGGGGUUAAACGUUGGUCAUAGUCA